GCCUCGGCGUUCUUGUCCUUGGCCGCCGCGGCGGCGUCCCCGCCGAGAUGGGCCUCGCGCGCCAUGCCGCCGCCGAUCGUGAGGCGAGGGAGACGCGGGGGUUUGGGAGCAGGGCAGGGCGGGGCAGCAACUAACCGUGUGGUGGAUGGGUGGAUGGAUACGCGCGGUGCGCCCCGCGCGGAAGUCGGGGGAGUUGGUGGCGUGAGUUCAGAAAGCGCUCUGAUGCCGAGGGAAAGGCUUUGCGCCCGCGCGGUUGGUGCUGCUGCCAUCGGAAGAAGCCGGUCACGUUGCGAAUAGGUUCCCGGUUGCGAGCGGAGAAGAUGGGGUUCCCCAUCCCCACGGAUCGUAUCAGCUGCGGUUGACUCCGCGGCGUGCAAUCAGGAUCAUCGCUUGACUGGUAACAGAAUCUUUUAUAUAAGUAAUAUCUAGCUUCAUCAGUUUUGUUUUUUCAGCCGACACAGGAGGAAGAAGAAGAAGAAGAAAGAAUCCAAUAGCUCAUGCCACCAACGAAGCAUGACAAUCCGUGGGUCGCCUGUUUACUCGAUCGGCCUGAAGGUGUUCAAUUGUCAAACUGGAUUGCUGUCAUUUUUGCGACGGUUUUGUCCUCUCGUGCAAUUUUCUAGGCUCAGCGGAUCCAUCAGCAAGAUCAGAAAUAUGCGACGAUGCAGGGCAACCUUUCGACGUCAAGCUUCCUUUGACAGUAGCCCCGCCGGCUGCGUCAUGAACCAUCAUAUCAAGCAGCACUCAACUUUGACCAAUCCUCUGUCAUGGUAUCAAGUAGCAAUGGGAUCGCCUUGAGCUGUUGAACCAUCGCGUUUGAUGUGUCCCAGAAUCGCAUGCGUUUCCGCGUGAGGCGAUAGAGUAUUUGUUCUUGGCAAGUUGCAAGGACCGAUUGGCGCCGCUCUUCAACGUUGUUUAUGUUUAGGUUGCUUUCUUUGUUAUAUACUCUCCUUUUUUGAGAUGCAAUUAUUUCUGGGUUUCUUUUGGUAACGGAGCUAACUAGGUGGUACUGCCAUCUGGUUCUAUUUGCAUUGGGGAGUAGUCUGCA